AUCCAGCUGACGAGUCCUAAAUAGGACGAAGCUCGUGUCUUGGAU
rfam:Schistosoma rodhaini strain Burundi genome assembly, scaffold: SROB_scaffold0000954